UACGAAGGGGGCUAGCGUUGUUCGGAAUCACUGGGCGUAAAGGGCGCGUAGGCGGCUUUGUAAGUCGGGGGUGAAAGCCUGUGGCUCAACCACAGAAUUGCCUUCGAUACUGCAUGGCUUGAGACCGGAAGAGGUUAGUGGAACUGCGAGUGUAGAGGUGAAAUUCGUAGAUAUUCGCAAGAACACCAGUGGCGAAGGCGGCUGACUGGUCCGGUUCUGACGCUGAGACGCGAAAGCUAGGGGAGCGAACAGG
rnacentral:rRNA from 1 species